ensembl:lncRNA
UGAGACCAAGAUAAACUUAUUUGGUUCAGAUGGUGUCAAGUGUGUGUGGCAGGCAACCAGGUGAGGAGUACAAAGACAAGUGUGUCUUGCCUACAGUCAAGCAUGGUGGUGGUAGUGUCAUGGUCUGGGGCUGCAUGAGUGCUGCCGGCACUGGGGAGCUACAGUUCAUUGUGGGAACCAUGAAUGCCAGCAUGUACUGUCACAUACUGAAGCAGAGCAUGAUCAGUAUGCAGUAUUCCAGCAUGAUAAGGACCCCAAACACACCUCCAAGACGACCACUGCCUUGCUAAAGAAGCUGAGGGUGAAGGUGAUGGACUGGCCAAGCAUGUCUCCAGACCUAAACCCUAUUGAGCAUCUGUGGGGCAUCCUCAAACAGAAGGUGGAGGAGCACAAGGUCUCUAACAUCCACCAGCUCCCGGUUUAGACAUUAAUGGCUGUGUGGUGAGUUAUUUUGAGGGGACAGCAAAUUUACACUGUUACACAAGCUGUACACUCACUACUUUACAUUGUAGCAAAGUGUCAUUUCUUCAGUGUUGUCACAUUAAAAGAUAUAAUCAAAUAUUUACAAAAAUGUGAGGGGUGUACUCACUUUUGUGAGAUACUGUAUAUGAUUUGAAGCUGAUCAGUUGAGGUUUACAUUCGUUUUUUUCUUAAUUUUUUUUUAAAUAAUUUUUUUUAUAAAUGCCAAAUUUCUUGUGUAAAUGCUUCUUUUAACGAUAUACAAAUAAAUCUGUUCAUAUCCAGCUUGAUUUACGAGGCCUGUUGUAUGUCAAUAAUGUAGUAGUGUGAGAAACUAUUAGUGUGUAAACUCGUGUGUAAACUAAACUAGUAGUGUGAGAAAUGAGAAACAAUUUAAUGUGCGUGGAUGAAAACAUGUUAGUUAUUGUUUUGUCAUCUUAUUGGUUGGUUACAUGUUUGUUUCUCAUUCUUUCCACAGGCUAAGAGUUUGGACAGGCACCAUUUCUCUCCUGAACGUCUUUCUGUCUCUGUCAGCAGUUUUGUGUAGUGUUUAAUUUAAAAAAAACAAUUGUCAUGCAUAUUUGAACAAUAAACAAAUCUAAAUGAUCAGCUUUCAUUGUGUCCAUACUUUAAAUCUUCAUCUCACAGAUUAAGGGCACAGGAGAUGCACACUUGGG